CGUGUAGGCGGGACGAUUAGUCAGUGGUGAAAUCUUACGGCUUAACCGUAAGCGUGCUUCUGAUACUGUCGUUCUUGAGCGCGGAAGAGGGAAGUGGAAUUCCUGGUGUAGCGGUGAAAUGCGUAGAUAUCAGGAAGAACACCAGUAGCGAAGGCGGCUUCCUGGUCCGCCACUGACGCUGAGACGCGAAAGCGUGGGGAGCAAACAGGAUUAGAUACCCUGGUAGUCC
rnacentral:rRNA from 1 species